ACUCCUACGGGAGGCAGCAGUAGGGAAUCUUCCGCAAUGGACGAAAGUCUGACGGAGCAACGCCGCGUGAGCGAUGAAGGCCUUCGGGUCGUAAAGCUCUGUUGUUAGGGAAGAACAAGUACCGGAGUAACUGCCGGUACCUUGACGGUACCUAACCAGAAAGCCACGGCUAACUACGUGCCAGCAGCCGCGGUAAUACGUAGGUGGCAAGCGUUGUCCGGAAUUAUUGGGCGUAAAGCGCGCGCAGGCGGUCCUUUAAGUCUGAUGUGAAAGCCCACGGCUCAACCGUGGAGGUCAUUGGAAACUGGGGGACUUGAGUACAGAAGAGGAAAGCGGAAUUCCACGUGUAGCGGUGAAAUGCGUAGAGAUGUGGAGGAACACCAGUGGCGAAGGCGGCUUUCUGGUCUGUAACUGACGCUGAGGCGCGAAAGCGUGGGGAGCAAACAGGAUUAGAUACCCUGGUAGGCGUAG
rnacentral:rRNA from 1 species